rnacentral:rRNA from 1 species
GACGAACGCUGACGGCGUGCUUAACACAUGCAAGUCGAAGGGAGUGGCGAACGGGUUAGUAACAAGUGAGUAACCUGCCCUUUUCUUUGGGAUAAGCCUGGGAAACUGGGUCUAAUACUGGAUGGAUUGGGAUGGGGUCGCGGCGUAGAAGCUGGUGUGUGGGGUGAGGGCUUACCAAGGCUUUGCUGGGUAGCCGGCAUGAUCGGGGGUUCGGGCACACUGGGACGGACAUACGGCCCAUACGCUUACGGGGGGCAGCAUUGGGGGAUAUUGCACAAUGGACGAAAGUGUGAUGCAGCGACGGCGUGUGGGGGAUGAAGGCCUUCGGGUUGUAAACGUCUUUCGCCAGCGGAAUGGUAGUGGGUAAAGAAGCGCCGGCUAACUACGUGCCAGCAGCCGCGGUAAUAC